rnacentral:piRNA from 1 species
UAGGACAUGGUCUUGAUCUCUUCCCAGC